UCUGGUGAUUAUGGCUUGAAGGUAACACCCGUUUCCAUGCCGAACACGAAGGUUAAGCUUCAAAGCGCUGAUGGUACUGCAGGGGAAGCCCUGU
rnacentral:rRNA from 1 species